rnacentral:pre_miRNA from 1 species
AGAGGAAUAGCUGGGCCAAAUGGUGUUCCAUUCCCAGAUUUCCAAGGAAUCUCCAUACUGCUUUCCAAAUUGGCUACACCAAUUUGCAGUCCCACCAGCAAU